ACACUCAUGGUUCUCUUCACAUCUUAUAAAUCUUUCGCCUUUUACUAAAGAUUUCCGUGGAGAGGUCCAAUAUGAGUUUGUAGUGAUUUUUUGAUACUCCAUCGCAUGAUGGAGU